rnacentral:misc_RNA from 1 species
AACCAACGAUUCUAAAGCUACAGUUUCUGUACUUUAUUG